CCGGGAGUGAUUUACAGGACUCAGAGCCCCGGAAAGUCACCCGGCCUCGAGGCAACGACCUUCUGGCUUAUUUUUCCUCCUGCCCCCACCCUCCUGCCGUCCCAGCCUCCGCAGCCGCCGUGCUGAUCCCGGUGACCUGGCCACCCGGGACUGCGACCCCAGUGUUGGAGGCCCCUCGCCCCACCGUCAGUGAGUACACAGGACUCUUCCCCAAAUGGUGAGGCCAAAGGCAGAGCUCCAGAAUUCAUAUUGCCUUCAGGUCAUUCCAUUUCAUAGUUUUACAGUUUAUAGACUAAGCUGGGCUCUUUCACAUGAUGGGUAUAAAAACAUGCUUUGUGGAUUGUAACAGAGAUGCUGUGGUGGGGUGCUUCUGAAGUUGUUAUCUUUGAAACUGGAUAUUCUUACACUUUUCCCUGCUGUGGUGGUGUGAGUUCCAGGUGUCUAUUAAGAGCCAUUUUUUUAAAAAAGUGCAUGUUCUUUUUAUGUACUUGGGUUAUGUGUCAAAAACAAGGCUUAAACCAAGUGAUUAGCUCCAGUUCUGCUGUUCUCUCUUUGGAGGGGACCUGCCCAGAGGAAGCAAGGGGGGAGGGGAUUGAGGGAAACUGGACCAACCUGAAUUUGCCCCAGGUGUCCAGCGCCCCAGGCCAGCCUCUGGGCCAGCCAUGGGGCUGGCAGGAGAGCACAGAGUUGUCAGCGGUGUCCUCGGAGCUCUUGACCAGCCCUCGCUGGAAUGAUCAUUGGUCACCGGUCAGACUUUGGAGGAAAGGGCCUAAUUAAAUCAAGCUCUUAACGUCCAACAUGUAAAAUCACUAUGUUUACACAUCUUAAUUGCACCGACGGUGAGAAUUUAUAGCACUGGAGUUCACCCAUUUUAUAGGAGGAGGAAAAACCAUGGUUUUCAAAGGAAAUCCAGAUUUUUUUUUUCCUGCUGAUUUUUCCAAUGUCUUCUGGAUUUUGUUUUAAAAUUCCAAGUUUUACCAGCCUUGAAUUGAGGUUGAUGAAUUAGUUGAUGUGUUCGUAUAUGCUUAGUCUCUCAGUCUUAUGUGACUCUUUGCUACCCUUUGGACUGUAGCCCGAUCGGCUCCUCUGUCCAUGGGAUUUUCCAGGCAAGAAUGCUGGAGUGGGUUGCCAUUUCCUCCUUCAGGGGAUCUUCCCAAACCAAGGAUUGAACCCGCAUCUCCUGCACUGCAGGCAGAUUCUUUACCUCUGAGCCACCAGGGGAGUCCCUUAGUGGGUAAAAUAGAUGCAGUAGGAUACUUCCAGAUAAGCUGUACCUAGAGAAGCAGUGUCUGGACAGAGGAGGACAUUUGCUUCUGACCGUCCAUUUCUGGGUGCUGUAAAAUUCAGACCAAAUUCUUUACUUUAAAGUCAUCACCCAAAAAUUAUUUCUCAACGUAUGGGUGUGGUCACUUCAAUCAUGUCCAACUCUUUACGACCCUAUGGACCAUAGCCCGCCCACUUCUCUGUCCAUGGGAUUCUCCAGGCAAGAAUACUGGAGUGGGUUGCCAUGCCCUCCUCCAG
ensembl:lncRNA